AGAGUUUGAUCCUGGCUCAGAAUGAACGCGGGCGGCGUGCCUAAUACAUGCAAGUCGAACGCACAGCGAAAGGUGCUGCACCCUUUCAAGUGAGUGGCGAACGGGUGAGUAACACGUGGAUAACCUACCUCAAGGUUGGGGAUAACAUUUGGAAACAGAUGCUAAUACCGAAUAAAACUUCGUAUCGCAUGAUACAAGGUUAAAAGGCGCUACGGCGUCACCUAGAGAUGGAUCCGCGGUGCAUUAGUUAGUUGGUGGGGUAAAGGCCUACCAAGACAAUGAUGCAUAGCCGAGUUGAGAGACUGAUCGGCCACAUUGGGACUGAGACACGGCCCAAACUCCUACGGGAGGCUGCAGUAGGGAAUCUUCCACAAUGGGCGAAAGCCUGAUGGAGCAACGCCGCGUGUGUGAUGAAGGCUUUCGGGUCGUAAAGCACUGUUGUAUGGGAAGAACAGCUAGAGUAGGGAAUGACUUUAGUUUGACGGUACCAUACCAGAAAGGGACGGCUAGAUACGUGCCAGCAGCCGCGGUAAUACGUAUGUCCCGAGCGUUAUCCGGAUUUAUUGGGCGUAAAGCGAGCGCAGACGGUUGAUUAAGUCUGAUGUGAAAGCCCGGAGCUCAACUCCGGAAAGGCAUUGGAAACUGGUCAACUUGAGUGCAGUAGAGGUAAGUGGAACUCCAUGUGUAGCGGUGGAAUGCGUAGAUAUAUGGAAGAACACCAGCGGCGAAGGCGGCUUACUGGACUGUAACUGACGUUGAGGCUCGAAAGUGUGGGUAGCAAACAGGAUUAGAUACCCUGGUAGUCCACACCGUAAACGAUGA
rnacentral:rRNA from 1 species